AUACGGAGGGUGCGAGCGUUACUCGGAGUCACUGGGCGUAAAGCGUCCGUAGGCGGUCGGGUAAGUCGGGUGUGAAAGCCCCGGGCUCAACCUGGGAAGUGCACCCGAUACUGCUCGACUCGAGUGCGGGAGAGGAUGGCGGAAUUCCCGGUGUAGCGGUGAAAGGCGUAGGGAUCGGGAGGAACACCAGUGGCGAAGGCGGCCAUCUGGCCCGCAACUGACGCUGAGGGACGAAAGCGUGGGGAGCAAACAGGAUUAGAUACCCUAGUAGUCC
rnacentral:rRNA from 1 species